rnacentral:RNase_P_RNA from 1 species
GAGGAAAGUCCGGGCUCUACAGAGCAAAGUGGUGGAUAACUUCCACCCGGGGCGACCCGCGGGAAUAGUGCAACAGAGAGUAAACCGCCAAAAGAAAUUUUGGUAAGGAGUGAAACGGUGGUGUAAGAGACCACCAGCAUUGCAAGUGAUUGCAGUGGCUAUGCAAACCCCACUUUUGAGCAAGAUCAAGAAGUUGCAAGCAAUUGCAAUGGAGUGAAUGUUUGAGAACUGCUCGUUCGAGUUCACAGGUAGAUCGCAUGACAUAUGUAGCAAUGCAUAUGCAAGAUGGAUGAUUGUCCCUCAGCAAUGAGGACAGAACCCGGCUUA